rnacentral:rRNA from 1 species
CAGCAGCCGCGGUAAUACGGAAGGUCCAGGCGUUAUCCGGAUUUAUUGGGUUUAAAGGGAGCGCAGGCCGUGGAUUAAGCGUGUUGUGAAAUGUAGACGCUCAACGUCUGAAUUGCAGCGCGAACUGGUUCACUUGAGUAUGCACAACGUAGGCGGAAUUCGUCGUGUAGCGGUGAAAUGCUUAGAUAUGACGAAGAACUCCGAUUGCGAAGGCAGCUUACGGGAGCACAACUGACGCUGAAGCUCGAAGGUGCGGGUAUCAAACAGGAUUAGAUACCCUGGUAGUCCGCACAGUAAACGAUGGAUGCCCGUUGUUAGUUCACUUAAGAAUUAGCGACCAAGCGAAAGCAUUAAGCAUCCCACCUGGGGAGUACGCCGGCAACGGUGAAACUCAAAGGAAUUGACGGGGGCCCGCACAAGCGGAGGAACAUGUGGUUUAAUUCGAUGAUACGCGAGGAACCUUACCCGGGCUUGAAUUGCAGACGAACGAUUCAGAGAUGAUGAGGCCCUUCGGGGCGUCUGUGAAGGUGCUGCAUGGUUGUCGUCAGCUCGUGCCGUGAGGUGUCGGCUUAAGUGCCAUAACGAGCGCAACCCCUUUUUUCAGUUGCCAUCAGGUGAUGCUGGGCACUCUGGAGAUACUGCCACCGUAAGGUGUGAGGAAGGUGGGGAUGACGUCAAAUCAGCACGGCCCUUACGUCCGGGGCUACACACGUGUUACAAUGGCCGGUACAGAGAGUUGGUUGUGUGCAAAUACGAUCUAAUCCUUAAAGCCGGUCCCAGUUCGGACUGGGGUCUGCAACCCGACCCCACGAAGCUGGAUUCGCUAGUAAUCGCGCAUCAGCCAUGGCGCGGUGAAUACGUUCCCGGGCCUUGUACACACCGCCCGUCAAGCCAUGAAAGCCGGGGGUGCCUGAAGUCUGUGACCGCAAGGAACGGCCUAGGGCAAAACUGGUGAUUGGGGCUAAGUCGUAACAAGGUAGCCGU